rnacentral:rRNA from 1 species
CAGUCGCCGCGGUAAUACGUAGGUGGCAAGCGUUGUCCGGAAUUAUUGGGCGUAAAGGGCUCGCAGGCGGUUUCUUAAGUCUGAUGUGAAAGCCCCCGGCUCAACCGGGGAGGGUCAUUGGAAACUGGGAAACUUGAGUGCAGAAGAGGAGAGUGGAAUUCCACGUGUAGCGGUGAAAUGCGUAGAGAUGUGGAGGAACACCAGUGGCGAAGGCGACUCUCUGGUCUGCAACUGACGCUGAGGAGCGAAAGCGUGGGGAGCGAACAGGAUUAGAUACCCCAGUAGUCCCUGUCUCUUAUAC